UACGGAGGAUGCAAGCGUUAUCCGGAUUUAUUGGGUUUAAAGGGUGCGUAGGCGGGUUUUUAAGCGUGAGGUGAAAUGCUCCGGCUCAACCGGAGAACUGCCUCGCGAACUGGGGACCUUGAAUGACACUGCCGUGGGAGGAAUGUGUGGUGUAGCGGUGAAAUGCAUAGAGAUCACACAGAACACCGAUUGCGAAGGCAUCUCACGAAGUGUUGAUUGACGCUGAGGCACGAAAGCGUGGGGAU
rnacentral:rRNA from 1 species